AACUUGGCGUGGUUGUUGCUGGCUUCUAGGAGCAUGUGCACACUCGUCACCUUUAUCUUUCCACCUGUGCACACUUUGUAGGCUCUGGGAUUAUCUCUCGCGCACUCUUGUAGUGUUGCGGAUGCGAAGGUUGUCGCGCCCUCACAGGCCGGCUUCCCUCGAAUGUCUCAGGUCUAUGUUUAUUAACACACCCCUAUCGAAUGUAUAAAAGAAUGUUGAUUUCAAAGGGCUCUGCCCAUAUAGAAACUCAAUACAACUUUCAGCAACGGAUCUCUUGGCUCUCGCAUCGAUGAAGAACGCAGCGAAAUGCGAUAAGUAAUGUGAAUUGCAGAAUUCAGUGAAUCAUCGAAUCUUUGAACGCACCUUGCGCUCCUUGGUAUUCCGAGGAGCAUGCCUGUUUGAGUGUCAUUAAAUUCUCAACCUCAUCUAGUUUUUUCUGGGUGAUGGCUUGGACUUGGGGGUUUUGCAGGCCUUUCUUAGGUCUGCUCCCUUAAAAUGAAUUAGCGGGUCUUCCCCUCCAUCCCCCUCGGUGUGAUAACUAUCUACGCCUUGGUGUUGGAGAUCUAUGGGACCAGUUUACAACCGUCCGCAAGGACAAUAUGACCAAUCUGACCU
rnacentral:rRNA from 1 species